rnacentral:rRNA from 1 species
UAGGGAAUCUUCCGCAAUGGGCGAAAGCCUGACGGAGCAACGCCGCGUGAGUGAUGAAGGUCUUCGGAUCGUAAAACUCUGUUAUUAGGGAAGAACAAAUGUGUAAGUAACUAUGCACGUCUUGACGGUACCUAAUCAGAAAGCCACGGCUAACUACGUGCCAGCAGCCGCGGUAAUACGUAGGUGGCAAGCGUUAUCCGGAAUUAUUGGGCGUAAAGCGCGCGUAGGCGGUUUUUUAAUUCUGAUGUGAAAGCCCACGGCUCAACCGUGGAGGGUCAUUGGAAACUGGAAAACUUGAGUGCAGAAGAGGAAAGUGGAAUUCCAUGUGUAGCGGUGAAAUGCGCAGAGAUAUGGAGGAACACCAGUGGCGAAGGCGACUUUCUGGUCUGUAACUGACGCUGAUGUGCGAAAGCGUGGGGAUCAAACAGG